rnacentral:RNase_P_RNA from 1 species
GUCGCGUGUCAAGGCAGUCGCUCGGAGCGUGAUCGCAAGAUCGCACUUCGGGAGGAAAGUCCGAGCACGGUAGGACAAAGGUGGUGGGUAACGCCCACCGACCCGCUGCAGGGUCAGGGAAAGUGCCACAGAAAAUAAACCGCCAGUGUCGGAUUUCCGAAGGCUGGUAAGGGUGAAACGGUGCGGUAAGAGCGCACCGCUCUGAUGGUGACAUCAGGGGCACGGCAAACCCCACCUCGUGCAAACGCAAGCAGUUCCUGUUCGGUUCGCCGAACGCCCGCGGUCCGUGGGCUUGGGAACGGGUCGCGCGCUAGAGCCGAUGGGCAACCAUCGGCCCAGAGAAAUGGCUGCCAGCGGAGCGCCUCAAACGGUCCGCACAGAACUCGGCUUAUCGACGCAUUGCAGCA